UACAGAGGUCUCAAGCGUUGUUCGGAUUCAUUGGGCGUAAAGGGUGUGUAGGUGGCGCCGUAAGUCAGGUGUGAAAUUUCGGAGCUCAACUCCGAAACUGCAUUUGAUACUGCGGUGCUUGAGGACUGGAGAGGAGACUGGAAUUUACGGUGUAGCAGUGAAAUGCGUAGAUAUCGUAAGGAAGACCAGUGGCGAAGGCGGGUCUCUGGACGAGUUCCU
rnacentral:rRNA from 1 species